rnacentral:rRNA from 1 species
CCGAAAGGCCUGCGCCAGCGAUGGCCGCUUGCGAGGUGCUGCAUGGUUGUCGUCAGCUCGUGCCGUGAGGUGUCGGGUUAAGUCCCAUAACGAGCGCAACCCCUACUGCUAGUUGCCAGCGGGUCAUGCCGGGGACUCUAGCGGAACUGCCAGCGUAAGCUGCGAGGAAGGUGGGGAUGACGUCAAAUCAGCACGGCCCUUACGUCCAGGGCUACACACGUGUUACAAUGGCCGGUACAGAGGGCAGCCACCCCGCGAGGGGGCGCGAAUCCCGAAAGCCGGUCCCAGUUCGGAUCGGAGUCUGCAACCCGACUCCGUGAAGCUGGAUUCGCUAGUAAUCGCGCAAUCAGCCACGGCGCGGUGAAUACGUUCCGGGCCUU